CCUACGGGUGGCAGCAGUGGGGAAUAUUGGACAAUGGGCGAAAGCCUGAUCCAGCCAUGCCGCGUGUGUGAAGAAGGCCUUCGGGUUGUAAAGCACUUUCAGUGGGGAAGAAAGCCUUGGGGCUAAUACCCUCGAGGAAGGACAUCACCCACAGAAGAAGCACCGGCUAACUCCGUGCCAGCAGCCGCGGUAAUACGGAGGGUGCGAGCGUUAAUCGGAAUUACUGGGCGUAAAGCGCGCGUAGGCGGUCUGAUAAGCCGGUUGUGAAAGCCCCGGGCUCAACCUGGGAACGGCAUCCGGAACUGUCAGGCUAGAGUGCAGGAGAGGAAGGUAGAAUUCCCGGUGCAGCGGUGAAAUGCGUAGAGAUCGGGAGGAAUACCAGUGGCGAAGGCGGCCUUCUGGACUGACACUGACGCUGAGGUGCGAAAGCGUGGGUAGCAAACAGGAUUAGAUACCCGUGUAGUC
rnacentral:rRNA from 1 species